rnacentral:misc_RNA from 1 species
CAGUGCUCGCUAGCCCACCACGCCCUGAACCUAGCCCGGACACCCGCCAGGACAGGCCAGCCCAACGCGAUGCGACCGCCGCCUCAGGGUCCGCGCACCACCAUGUCCAUGGGCUCCCCGGUGCAGCUCAGGCGGCUGAAGCCUCUGUACCAGCUGGUGGUGAACAACAUCCUGGCCAUCGUGGCCGUGCCGCUCGCCGCCGCGGUCCUGCUCAAGGCGUCGUCGCUCGGGCCCGAGGAGAUCCUGGCGCUCCGGCCGGCGCACAUGUUCCUGGCCGCGUUCCUGCCUGCCGCGGCCACGGUGCUAUACCUGAUGCUCCGGCCGCGCGCUGUGUACCUGGUGGACUACGCGUGCUUCCGCACCAGCCCCAACUGCCGCGUCCCGUUCGCGACGUUCCUGGAGCACUCCCGCGUGUGGCCGGGCUUCGACGAGCGCAGCGUCCGGUUCAUGACGCGCCUGCUGGAGCGGUCGGGGCUCGGGGAGGAGACGUGCCUGCCGUACGCGCAGCACUACAUCCCGCCGUCGCGCGACCUGGAGUCCUCCCGCGCCGAGGCCGAGCUCGUCAUCUUCUCGGCCAUCGACGACCUGCUCGCCAAGACCGGGGUCUCCCCGCGGGACAUCGACAUCCUGGUGGUGAACUGCAGCCUGUUCGCGCCGACGCCGUCCUUCGCGGACAUGGUCGCGCACCGGUACAGGCUCCGCGGCGACGUGCGCAACGUGCACCUCGCCGGGAUGGGGUGCAGCGCGGGGCUCGUCUCCGUGGAGCUGGCCCGGAACCUGCUGCAGGUGGCGCCGCGGGGCGCGCGCGCGCUGGUGGUGUCCACGGAGACCAUCACCCCCAACUACUACAUGGGCGAGGAGCGCGCGAUGCUGCUGCCCAACUGCCUGUUCCGCAUGGGCGGCGCGGCGGCGCUGCUGUCCACCGACGGCGCCGGCGCGCGGUUCCGCCUGGCGCGCGUGGUGCGCACGCUGCGCGGCGCGUCGGACGGCGCGUACCGCUGCGUGUACCAGGAGGAGGACGAGCGCGGCAACGUGGGCAUCAACCUGUCCAAGGACCUGAUGAGCAUCGCGGGCGACGCGCUGAAGGCGAACAUCACGGCGAUGGGGCCCCUGGUGCUGCCGGCGUCGGAGCAGCUGCUGUUCGCGCUGUCCUUCAUCGCGCGCAAGGUGCUGAACAACCGGAUCAGGCCCUACAUCCCGGACUUCCGCACGGCGUUCGAGCACUUCUGCAUCCACGCGGGCGGGCGCGCCGUGAUCGACGAGCUCCAGCGCAGCCUGACGCUGUCGGACGAGCAGGUGGAGGCGUCGCGGAUGACGCUGCACCGGUUCGGCAACACCUCCAGCAGCUCCCUCUGGUACGAGCUCGCCUACGUCGAGGCCAAGGGCCGCAUGCGCAGGGGCGACCGCGUCUGGAUGAUCGGCUUCGGCUCCGGCUUCAAGUGCAACAGCGCCGCCUGGGAGUGCAUCCGCCCCGCCGCCAACGCCGACGGGCCGUGGGCCAACUGCAUCCACCGGUACCCCGUGCACAUUCCCGACGUGCUCAAGCACUGAGCCCGGCGCCAGCUCCAGUUUCGUGCCGUGCCUUGCCUUUCCCUUUUCCUCCUCGCCCGGUUGCCAUUGCACCUGCUGCUACAUUUGGUUUGUGGACAUCAAAACGAACCGCUGGAACAGCGAUUGGCCGUGGUCGUGAACUAGGUUGGUGGAAUAUGUGAUGGAGAGUGACAGAGUACUUGUCGUGUCGUAUCAACGGGGGCUCAAGGCGGCGGGGUGGUCGUCAUAAAGGAGGCGAGGUCGGGCCAGGCUGCCGUACAUGGGCGCCCGGGGAACGGACGUGUGUUGUGCUUGUCCGGGGCGUUGUUGUAUUAUCUACCAUUUACUAUUUCUUACAAUUCAUUCCUGCAGUAUACCAUGAAAAGAGAUAUGACAUGAGCUACUAGUAGACGACAAGACGAGCAAAAGCUUUGAUGUAUGUGUGCACCUACUCUUUAUACAAUCAAGUGUUCUCAUUUAAGUAAAAGCGCC